AUGACCACAGGUAAGAUGCUUUUCAGAUCCAGGACAGAGGAUAUGAAGGUGCUUAUUCAAGGUGCAUUUCAUUCAUUCUGUCUCCUUUCAGUUGGUAUUCAUUCUGAGGUCCAACUAGUGCAGUCUGGGCCUGAGUUGAAGAAGCCUGGCACAAUAGUUCAGAUCUCCUGCAAGGCUUCAGGAUAUAUUUUCACCAACUAUUACAUGAACUGGUUGAGACAGAUUCCUGGACAAGGACUUGAAUGGAUCGGAAAUAAUAAAGGCUACUCAAAGAAAUUCCAGGACUGAGUCACCGUGACUAGUGACACCUCCAGGGAAACAGCCUACAUGGAGUUGAGAAAUCUAAGAUCUGAGGACAUGGCCAUAUAUUACUGAGCAAGAGGCACAGUAAGUUAA